UAUGCAGUUUGGCGGCAUUUAAUCAAUUUAGAGGAACCUGUCUUUUAAUCGAUACCCCACGAUAACUCUUACUUUUAUUAAUAUUUUAUAUACCUCCAUCUCAAGGAUUAAUAUUUACAUUUUCCCCUAAAUAGAAUUCUAAAAAGUUAGGUAAAGGUGUAGACUAUAUAAAAGAUAAGGUGGGUUACUGUAAAUCUAAUUUAAGGAUAUAUAAUAAAAUUUAUAUUGAAAAAGGAUUUAUUAGUAAUAAAAGAAUAUUAAUCUUCGAUGAAACUGAUAAACAAUGUGCACA
rnacentral:rRNA from 1 species